AGAGUUUGAUCCUGGCUCAGGAUGAACGCUGGCGGCGUGCUUAACACAUGCAAGUCGAACGAACCUUCGGGUUAGUGGCGGACGGGUGAGUAACGCGUGAGAAUCUGCCCUCAGGAGGGGGAUAACGGCUGGAAACGGCCGCUAAUACCCCAUAUGCCGAGAGGUGAAACGAGUUUUCGCCUGAGGAUGAGCUCGCGUCUGAUUAGCUAGUUGGUGGGGUAAGAGCCUACCAAGGCAUCGAUCAGUAGCUGGUCUGAGAGGAUGAUCAGCCACACUGGGACUGAGACACGGCCCAGACUCCUACGGGAGGCAGCAGUGGGGAAUUUUCCGCAAUGGGCGAAAGCCUGACGGAGCAACGCCGCGUGAGGGAUGAAGGCCUCUGGGCUGUAAACCUCUUUUAUCAAGGAAGAAGAUCUGACGGUACUUGAUGAAUAAGCCACGGCUAAUUCCGUGCCAGCAGCCGCGGUAAUACGGGAGUGGCAAGCGUUAUCCGGAAUUAUUGGGCGUAAAGCGUCCGCAGGCGGCCUGAUAAGUCUGUUGUCAAAGCGUGGAGCUCAACUCCAUUUCGGCAAUGGAAACUGUGAGGCUUGAGUGUGGUAGGGGCAGAGGGAAUUCCCGGUGUAGCGGUGAAAUGCGUAGAUAUCGGGAAGAACACCAGUGGCGAAGGCGCUCUGCUGGGCCAUAACUGACGCUCAUGGACGAAAGCCAGGGGAGCGAAAGGGAUUAGAUACCCCUGUAGUCCUGGCCGUAAACGAUGAACACUAGGUGUCGGGGGAAUCGACCCCCUCGGUGUCGUAGCCAACGCGUUAAGUGUUCCGCCUGGGGAGUACGCACGCAAGUGUGAAACUCAAAGGAAUUGACGGGGGCCCGCACAAGCGGUGGAGUAUGUGGUUUAAUUCGAUGCAACGCGAAGAACCUUACCAGGGUUUGACAUCCUGCGAAUCCCUUGGAAACGAGGGAGUGCCUUCGGGAGCGCAGAGACAGGUGGUGCAUGGCUGUCGUCAGCUCGUGUCGUGAGAUGUUGGGUUAAGUCCCGCAACGAGCGCAACCCACGUCUUUAGUUGCCAGCAUUAGUUGGGCACUCUAGAGAGACCGCCGGUGAUAAACCGGAGGAAGGUGUGGAUGACGUCAAGUCAUCAUGCCCCUUACAUCCUGGGCUACACACGUACUACAAUGCUACGGACAAAGGGCAGCAAACUCGCGAGAGCUAGCAAAUCCCAUAAACCGUGGCUCAGUUCAGAUCGUAGGCUGCAACUCGCCUACGUGAAGGAGGAAUCGCUAGUAAUCGCAGGUCAGCAUACUGCGGUGAAUACGUUCCCGGGCCUUGUACACACCGCCCGUCACACCAUGGAAGUUGGCCACGCCCGAAGCCGUUACUCCAACCCUUGUGGAGGAGGACGUCGAAGGUGGGGCUGAUGACUGGGGUGAAGUCGGAACAAGGUA
rnacentral:rRNA from 1 species